rnacentral:lncRNA from 1 species
CUUGGUCAGAUGGUAUUUCUGUCUUUAGGUCUUUGAGGAAUCAACACUCUGUCUUCCACAUGCAAUAUCCUGCUGUGUCACUCCAGGUCUAGUAAUUAGAGUGAGUGGCAGCCGCUACAGUGUGUAUCUGCCUGAAAGCAGAGGAAAAAGAAUGAUAUGCACAACCGGCCAUUAUCCCCUGACUUUUCAUUUGAUGUUUUAUCUCUGCCAGUGGUGCUGCAUGUCUGACCCUGAAUCUCAUUUAGACUGCGAAUCACAGAUACAAAAUCCCAUCUGUGAAUUUCAUCUAUGGAUCUAGAUUUUCAUUCCUCAUUUUAACGGCAAGGGGUGGGGCAUGAUUUAGAAAAAGUUUUUGUAUGAUUCUUUGUGCAAAUAUAGACUUAUUACUAAGGGUAUGACUAAACAAUUAUAUAGAUAUAAUUUCUAUAGAUGUGAACUAGAUACUCUGUACUAAAAAUAGGUGACUUCUAACUGAAAGUGCCAUCUGUUCU